GAUGAACGCUGGCGGCGUGCCUAAUACAUGCAAGUCGAGCGAACAGAUGAGGAGCUUGCUCCUCUGACGUUAGCGGCGGACGGGUGAGUAACACGUGGAUAACCUACCUAUAAGACUGGGAUAACUUCGGGAAACCGGAGCUAAUACCGGAUAAUAUAUUGAACCGCAUGGUUCAAUAGUGAAAGACGGUUUUGCUGUCACUUAUAGAUGGAUCCGCGCCGCAUUAGCUAGUUGGUAAGGUAACGGCUUACCAAGGCAACGAUGCGUAGCCGACCUGAGAGGGUGAUCGGCCACACUGGAACUGAGACACGGUCCAGACUCCUACGGGAGGCAGCAGUAGGGAAUCUUCCGCAAUGGGCGAAAGCCUGACGGAGUAACGCCGCGUGAGUGAUGAAGGUCUUCGGAUCGUAAAACUCUGUUAUUAGGGAAGAACAAAUGUGUAAGUAACUAUGCACGUCUUGACGGUACCUAAUCAGAAAGCCACGGCUAACUACGUG
rnacentral:rRNA from 1 species